AGUAGGAGCAAAAGUGAGGCUCAAGUGAAGGUGGUGAGAUCUCUGAGGUGAGGGGGGCUGUGACAGGGGGUGAGGGGAGCAAUCAAGUACUAGCACACAGAGGUUAAGCUAGUUUAUAUUAACAAUGGUGGGCUAGAUGCCAUAUGUUGAUUAUUCCUGUAAAAAGGCAUCACCAUUCAGUUUCCUCCAACUAAAUAUUUUGCAAAAAGGUAUAAAAUGAACGUAACAUUUGUGGUGGUUUCUCUUUAUACAUCAAGCAUAUGAGCACCAGCCUUUUCUUUCCUAAUAUAUGUUAAAUAGAGCAAGGCAAGUUCUCAGGAGUACUGAUAAAAAAUAGUCUACUUGGAAAAAUAAGCAAAUAUAAAAAUUAAAAAACCCACAGACAUUAAAGUCCAUUUCAUACACCCUUCUAGUAUUCAGGUUGUUUUGGCUCCAGGGAUAUUCCUAAUAAGAUUUUUAGAUUAGAUUUUAUUUGCAUUAAAAGGGGGAAAAAAAGACUAUUUCAGCCAAAGUGCAAGUUUGCCACCUUGUGGCCCUACCAUGCAACUAGCUGUUUUCUCAAGCUGGAGGGUAGCGUUCUCAUGCAUACACAUGUAUGAACAACAAAAGGAGUGCGAUGAGCCACGGCCACAUUGCUUACACAGGAAGCUGCUUUACUCAGACAUUGGUCCAUCUAGUUCAGUACUGUUUACACUGACUGGUAGCUGUUCUUCAGGGUUUCAGAUUGGAAACUUUCCAGCCUGACCUGGGACCUUCUGCUUUACCUCUGUACUAUGGCUCCAUGCCCUGCCAGUUGUGAACCAAUUAUCACAGGAUGGAUAUGCGAUAUGGAGGGGAUGCAGAGGAGACAGAGGGAAGAAGUGGUAUAAUUGGUUUCAGAAAGGUGCAGUGUCAAAGACAGACAAGUGGUGGAGAAACAGUUCUGGGGUUGCUGUUCUGGCUGAAUAAACCCAAUGGGGUUUAUUCUUUCUAUCUUUAUUACUUGAGAAAAAAUACAAACAUAAAAUGCAAUAUGAGCCCUACAUGGCUCAUACAAUCUAGCAGGAAAAUUAUUGGAAAGGGUCUUGUAUAGUAUCAUCAAUGCCUCUCUGAGGGAGGGCAGGAUGCCUCAAGGAGGCAAUUGUUAGACCAUUUCUUAAGAAACCUGCAUUGGAUCCCUCAGAGCUAGGCAAUUAUAGGGCUGUCUCCAGUCUUCUCCAUGAUUGGGCAAAGUGAUUGAGAGGAUGGUGCCUUCUCAGCUCCAGUCAGUUUUGGAAGAAGCAGAUUAUCUGGACACAUUUCAAACUGACUUUCAGGUGGGCUAUGGGGUAGAGACUGCCAUAGUCAGCCCGAUGGAUGAUCUCCAGUUGGGAAUAGACACGGGGAGUGUGACCCUGUUGGAUCUCUCAGAGGCUUUCGAUACCAUUGACCAUGGUAUCCUUCUGGACUGCCUGAAGCGGUUGGAUGGAAGGCACUGCUCUGCAGUGGUUCCACUCUUACUUCUCAGGGAAAUUCCAGAUGGUGUUGCUUGGAGAUUGUUGCUCUUCAAAGAGAGAGCUAUUAUAUGGAGUCCCACAGGGCUCCAUUCUGUCUCCAAUGCUUUUUAACAUAUACAUGAAACUACUGAGAGAGAUCAUCAAGAGAUUUGGUGCAGGGUGCUAUCAAUAUGCUAGUGACACUCAGAUCUAUUUCUCCAUAUCAACUUCAUCAAGAGAUGGCUUAUCCUCUCUAAAUGUCUGCUUGGAAUCAGUAAUCAGUAAAAAUAAGGUUUCAACCUUGAGGAAAGUUUUGAAGCAUUAUCUUCAGUCCUUCAUGAGGAAGCUAUGGCGAAAAAAACUGGUACCUAGGCAGUUUUCAAGGACUACUCUCAUGCAUUCUGGAAUUCUGGAAAUCUGAAUACAUCCACCUCAGUCAGCUGCUCAAGGUUUUGAACUUGGAAUUCAUCCAUCUUAGUCAGCUGCUCUGCUUUCUGGAUCUGGAAUGUGUGCACCUAUAACUCUUCGUCUCUUCAGUGACCCAUGAGGUUUAUUAUCAAAGAUAUUAAGGAUACCAUCAAAGAAACAUUAGAAACUAUACUCUCUGGGUCCACAUAGGAGCUUGGCUCCUCCUUUGUGCACAUUAUGUUUUUCUUCUGCCUUAUGUCUGUAACUACAUUGAGUUAUAUCCUAUGACUAUUUGUUACUCCAUGAUAUAUGUAAAUAACAUGGCUGUUCUUACUAGCCCUUAUUAGAAGACAGCAAUAUAUGAAUAUAUGGAUUGAUUAUAUUAUUUACUUGGUAUCUAUUUCUCCACUGCAUUUGUGUGUUCCAUUAACACGGUAUUCUGAUUGAGAUUUCUUGGAAUCAGUAAUGGGCUGGAUGAGGGAGAAUGAACUGAAGUUGAAUCCAAACAAGAUGGAGGUAUUCAUUGUGGGAGGCUGGAACUUCGCAAGUGGUUUAGAUCUGCCUGUUCCGGACGUGGUUGCACUCCCCCUGAAAGAUCAGGUUAUGAACAGAUAUGUCAUACUAUCGUAGAGGAAGCAUUCCCUCCUGCAUGAGCAAAAGCAGAGGAAAGUAUCUUAUGGGUUUUCAAACAAAGACAAUGGAUCCUUUUGAGACCCACCAGAAUUUCCCUUCCUUGGAAGAAGGAGCAGCCAGUAUUUUGCCUCAGGGCCCAUUCUGGCCUAUAACUGGCACUGAUUUAUUGAACCAGUGCGCUUCAUUUUGUCUCUACACCGUGGAGUAUGGGUGAUAGAUUUGGCACCUGCCAUAACACCAGGCCGUGUCCUGCUCAUUGCACCAUUCACGCUUCCAGACUCUAGAUCAGCCUUCCUUGCUGGCCCGAUAUACACAGCUUGUCUCGAUGCUACAAGAAGCUGGCUGCACGAGAACAGACACCUGUUGGAUUUACCCUUGCUGCCUAACUCCCGAGCUGCUUUCGGAUCUUCACUGUCUGGUUCCAUCCCUGAGGAAAGAGGUCCUUUGGUUGUGCCUGAGCCACAAGGGUCCAAUCACCACUAAAGGAAGGACAAGGUUGUUUGAUAAUCACUGUGUCCUUCUGGGCUCUCCCUAUGCCUACUCUUUUCUUAAAACCAAAAACCUGUCUCUCUACAGCCCCCAUUGCUCUAGCCAGCCUGGAAGUCAUUUAAUUUGGACACUAAGCUAAAUUGUCUCUUUGCAAGUAUCUGGUUAAUGUUUGUAAUGUAUUUUUAGAAGUAAUGCUGCUUUAAUCAACUUUCUUAUUUUGCUGUACCUCUCAACCCCA